GACGAACGCUGGCGGCGUGCUUAACACAUGCAAGUCGAACGGAAAGGCCCUGCUUUUGUGGGGUGCUCGAGUGGCGAACGGGUGAGUAACACGUGAGUAACCUGCCCUUGACUUUGGGAUAACUUCAGGAAACUGGGGCUAAUACCGGAUAGGCGCUCCUGCUGCAUGGUGGGGGUUGGAAAGUUUCGGCGGUUGGGGAUGGACUCGCGGCUUAUCAGCUUGUUGGUGGGGUAGUGGCUUACCAAGGCUUUGACGGGUAGCCGGCCUGAGAGGGUGACCGGCCACAUUGGGACUGAGAUACGGCCCAGACUCCUACGGGAGGCAGCAGUGGGGAAUAUUGCACAAUGGGCGGAAGCCUGAUGCAGCAACGCCGCGUGCGGGAUGACGGCCUUCGGGUUGUAAACCGCUUUCGCCUGUGACGAAGCGUGAGUGACGGUAAUGGGCAAAGAAGCACCGGCUAACUACGUG
rnacentral:rRNA from 1 species